AAACGACUCUCGGCAACGGAUAUCCCGGCUCUCGCAUCGAUGAAGAACGUAGCGAAAUGCGAUACUUGGUGUGAAUUGCAGAAUCCCGUGAACCAUCGAGUCUUUGAACGCAAGUUGCGCCCGAGGCCGUCAGGCUAAGGGCACGUCUGCCUGGGUGUCACGC
rnacentral:rRNA from 2 species